CUCAAUGUUUGUAAUAAGACACCCUCCAUCACAGAUCAUCUCUUCUGCAUAAACUCCAACUGGUCCAGCUGCCCGGAUCAUCACCAGAACCUCCUCCAUCGAACACAUCACUCCAGUCCUUCAACAACUCCACCGGCUCCCUGUCAAAUAUCACAUGGACUUUCAAAUUCUCCUUCUCACAUUCAAGGCUCUCCAUAACCUCUCACCUCCGUACCUUUCUGAUCUCCUUCACACCUACACACCCUCUCGGACCCUCCGUUCUGCCUCCUCCAUGCUCCUCACCACACCUCCUGCCCGCCUAUCAUCGAUGGGGUCUCAAGCUUUUAGACGUGCAGCCCCCACGUCUCUGGAACUCUCUAUCACAAACCAUAGGCAACUACCUACCUUCAAAUCACAGCUCAAAACACACCUUUUUAGAUUAUCUUAUUCUGUCUGACCACGCCCUUCUCACUAUUGCUGUUUUUGUUUUUUCUGCUUCCAUGUAGUUGAUUGUGUUCUUGUUUUUCCUGCUGUGUCUAAGGUGACCUUUAGUGACGGGAAAAGCCCCUAAAUAAAAUGCAUUAUUUUUAUUA